CCUACGGGAGGCAGCAGUAGGGAAUAUUGCUCAAUGGGGGAAACCCUGAAGCAGCAACGUCGCGUGGAGGAUGAAGGCUUUCGGAUUGUAAACCCCUUUUGUUAGAGAAGAUAAUGACGGUACCUAACGAUGUAGCACCGGCUAACUCCGUGCCAGCAGCCGCGGUAAUACGGAGGGUGCAAGCGUUAUUCGGAAUCACUGGGCGUAAAGGGCGCGUAGGCGGGAUAGCAAGUCAGAUGUGAAAUCCUAUGGCUUAACCAUAGAACUGCGUUUGAAACUGUUAUUCUAGAGUAUGGGGGAGGUAGGUGGAAUUCUUGGUGUAGGGGUAAAAUGCGUAGAGAUCAAGAAGAAUACUCAUUGCGAAGGCGGCCUGCUAGAACAUAACUGACGCUGAUGCGCGAAAGCGUGGGGAGCAAACAGGAUUAGAUACCCGUGUAGUC
rnacentral:rRNA from 1 species